UACGUAGGGUGCAAGCGUUAAUCGGAAUUACUGGGCGUAAAGCGUGCGCAGGCGGUCCGGAAAGAAAGAUGUGAAAUCCCAGAGCUCAACCUUGGAACUGCAUUUUAAACUACCGGGCUAGAGUGUGUCAGAGGGGGGUGGAAUUCCGCGUGUAGCAGUGAAAUGCGUAGAUAUGCGGAGGAACACCGAUGGCGAAGGCAGCCUCCUGGGAUAACACUGACGCUCAGGCACGAAAGCGUGGGGAGCAAACAGG
rnacentral:rRNA from 1 species